ACACGAACCGUCCAAACGUUAUUCGGAAUUAUUGGGCUUAAAGGGUGCGUAGGCGGCGCGGUCAGUUGGGUGUGAAAUCCCUCGGCUCAACCGAGGAACUGCGCCCAAAACUACCGUGCUCGAGGGAGACAGAGGCGAGCGGAACUGAUGGUGGAGCGGUGAAAUGCGUUGAUAUCAUCAGGAACACCAGUGGCGAAAGCGGCUCGCUGGGUCUCUUCUGACGCUGAGGCACGAAAGCUAGGGUAGCGAACAGGAUUAGAAACCCCAGUAGUCC
rnacentral:rRNA from 1 species